UGCUUGUCUCAAGGACUAAGCCAUGCAAGUGUAAGUAUGAGUGAAUUGUACAACGAAACUGCGAAUGGCUCGGUAAAACAGCUAUAGUUUCUUCGGUGGUAAAUACUACUUGGAUACCCGUAGUAAUUCUAGAGCUAAUACAUGCCACAAAAGCGGUGCUGCACCGUGGUAUAAGUUAGAGAUACAAACCAAUGUUUGGUGAUUCAUAAUUUCUGUUCUGAUUGCCACACCGUUCAAAUUUCUGACCUAUCAACUUUGGAUGGUAAGGUAUUGUCUUACCAUGGUUGUGACGGGUAACGGACCGUGGGUGCGGGACUCCGGAGAGGGAGCCUGAGAAACGGCUACCACAUCCAAGGAAGGCAGCAGGCGCGUAAAUUACCCAAUCCGGACACCGGGAGGUAGUGACAAGAAAUAGCAAUAGAGGGCCCAACGGGUUUUCUAAUUGGAAUGAGAACAAGGUAAACAGCUUAUCGAGGAGCCAGCAGAGGGCAAGUCUGGUGCCAGCAGCCGCGGUAAUUCCAGCUCUGUAAGCGUAUACCAAAGUUGUUGCAGUUAAAACGCUCGUAGUCGGAAGUUGGCGGGCGACCAGGGGCGUCUUCACGGACGUGUUUUGGUUGGCCGCCUUUGUGGAUGGUGCUUCACUGCGUCACUGUGGUCGCUGCCACCGUUUACUGUGAAAAAAUUAGAGUGUUCAAAGCGGGCGUUUGCCAUGAAUACAUUAGCAUGGAAUAAUAGAAUAGGACCUGUUUCCUGUUUUGUUGGUUUGUGAGGAUCGGGUAAUGAUUAAGAGGGACGGUUGGGGGGCAUUUGUAUUCCGGCGUCAGAGGUGAGAUUCUUUAAGGACNNNNNNNNNNNNNNNNNNNNNNNNNNNNNNNNNNNNNGUUUUCAUUGAUCAAGAACGAAAGUAAGGGGAUCGAAGACGAUCAGAUACCGUCGUAGUCUUUACUAUAAACGAUGAGGACUGGGGAUCGGGCAGGACUGACUUUUGGCCUGCCCGGCACCCUUCGGGAAACCAAAGUGUUUGCUUUCUGGGGGGAGUAUGGUCGCAAGGCUGAAACUUAAAGGAAUUGACGGAAGGGCAUCACCGGGUGUGGAGCCUGCGGCUUAAUUUGACUCAACACGGGGAAACUUACCAGGUCCGGACAUAGUGAGGAUUGACAGAUUGAGAGCUCUUUCUUGAUUCUAUGGUUGGUGGUGCAUGGCCGUUCUUAGUUGGUGGAGUGAUCUGUCUGGUUAAUUCCGUUAACGAGCGAGACCUGGGCGUGCUAGCUAGGCGCCGUUACCAUAGCGAGGCUUGCCUUCCUAGACGGACUGCGGGCGUCUAGUCCGCGGAAGCUCCAGGCAAUAACAGGUCUGAGAUGCCCUUAGAUGUUCUGGGCCGCACGCGUGCUACACUGAGCGGGUCAACGGGUGAGGAUGUGCGAGAGCACUUCCCAAUCUCUAAAUCCGCUCGUGCUGGGGAUCGAGGCUUGCAAUUUUCCCUCUUGAACGAGGAAUACCUUGUAAGCAUGGGUCAUCAUCCCGUGCUGAAUACGUCCCUGCCCUUUGUACACACCGCCCGUCGCUCCUACCGAUUGAGUGGUCCGGUGAGGCCUUGGGAGGGAAAGACGGACUGUGCACGGACCGUCUGGCCUGAACUUGGUCAAACCUUAUCACUUAGAGGAAGGAUAAGUCAUAACAA
rnacentral:rRNA from 1 species